rnacentral:lncRNA from 1 species
AUUGAAAUGUGGUGUACUGGUUUAUGUCAAUAAGUGCAACGGUUCAACCUAACACCAGAAUAAAAGGAAACACCUCCAGCGGUAGACAUAUGGUGUUUAUCAAAUAUAUAUCAAGCCAAAAUCACUUUCAGCCUAAACAAGUCAAAUUUAAACUAAACGACAAUACCAUAUCUGCUAUCACAAUAAAAAUCAACGAGGGACAAACAAAAAUUAGGAAAAUCCACUGUCAAGUAAAAUAACAAAAUACAUUCACACAAUAAUUUUAAACCAUUUUAGAAAUCGUCCUCUAAAUAUUCUUAAAAGCCAGUCAAAGUCAAAGGUAAAAGGAAAACAAAAUAUGUUACAUAAAAAAAUCUCCUGGUUUCAGGCUAAUAUCCUACGAGGUAAAAAAACUUAUGCUACUGGGAAACAUGUGAACAAUUGCCUUAAAUUUGACAGUCAAAGUACAUAUACAGUAACAAUGCAUAACAAAUAGAAACUAGAUGUGUCAGAACACCAUGAACAGCCC